rnacentral:tRNA from 1 species
UCUCCUGUGGUCUAGUGGUUAGGAUCGGGCGCUCUCACCGCCAUGGCCCGGGUUCAAUUCCCAGCAUGGGAA